GACGAACGCUGGCGGCGUGCUUAACACAUGCAAGUCGAACGGAAAGGCCCCCACCUUGGUGGGGGUGCUCGAGUGGCGAACGGGUGAGUAACACGUGGGUGAUCUGCCCUGUACUUCGGGAUAAGCUUGGGAAACUGGGUCUAAUACCGGAUAGGACCAUGGUCUAGUGUCUCCUGGUGGAAAAAUUAUUGUUUUUGUGCAGGAUGAGCUCGCGGCCUCUCAGCUUGUUGGUGGGGUAAUGGCCUACCAAGGCGUCGACGGGUGGCCGGCCUGAGAGGGUGGACGGACACAUUGGGACUGAGAGACGACCCAGACUCGUACGGGAGGCAGCAGUGGUGAAGAGCGCACAAUGGGAGCAAGACUGAGGCAGCCACGCCGCGUGGGGGAUGACUGCCGUCGGGUUGUAACCUCCUUUCGUUAGGAACGAAUCCACACCUUUGUUGGGUGUGGUGACGGUACCUUUGUUAAGAAGCACCGGCUAACUACGUG
rnacentral:rRNA from 1 species